UACAGAGGUCCCAAGCGUUGUUCGGAUUCAUUGGGCGUAAAGGGUGCGUAGGCGGCGCGGUAAGUCGGGUGUGAAAUCUCGGAGCUUAACUCCGAAACUGCAUUCGAUACUGCCGUGCUUGAGGACUGGAGAGGAGACUGGAAUUUACGGUGUAGCGGUGAAAUGCGUAGAUAUCGUAAGGAGGACCAGUGGCGAAGGCGGGUCUCUGGACAGUUCCUGACGCUGAGGCACGAAGGCCAGGGGAGCAAACGGG
rnacentral:rRNA from 1 species